rnacentral:rRNA from 1 species
UACGUAGGGUGCAAGCGUUGCCCGGAAUUAUUGGGCGUAAAGAGCUCGUAGGCGGUUUGUCGCGUCUGCUGUGAAAACUCAGGGCUUAACCCUGAGCCUGCAGUGGGUACGGGCAGACUAGAGUGUGGUAGGGGAGAUCGGAAUUCCUGGUGUAGCGGUGGAAUGCGCAGAUAUCAGGAGGAACACCGGUGGCGAAGGCGGAUCUCUGGGACGGUACUGACGCUGAGACGCGAAGCGUGGGGAGCGAACAGGAU